GCACAUAUAUUGUAUAUAAAAAUAUGCGUGUAUAUGAAUAGCAAAUACAGUAGUAAUAAUAAUAGAAAACAAUGCAAUAAUAAUGAUGUAAUGUAACAUAAUAAUAGUAAUAAUGGCAUAAUAAUAGUAAAAAAAAGAUAAUGAUAUAUAAAAAAAAAAGAAAAAAUGAGAAGAAGGACUGAAUUGAAUUUUAAACAAAAAUGGGG
rnacentral:lncRNA from 1 species